UACGUAGGGGGCUAGCGUUAUCCGGAAUUACUGGGCGUAAAGGGUGCGUAGGUGGUUUCUUAAGUCAGAGGUGAAAGGCUACGGCUCAACCGUAGUAAGCCUUUGAAACUGAGAAACUUGAGUGCAGGAGAGGAGAGUAGUAUUCCUAGUGUAGCGGUGAAAUGCGUAGAUAUUAGGAGGAACACCAGUGGCGAAGGCGGCUUUCUGGACUGUAACUGACGCUGAGGUACGAAAGUGUGGGGAGCAAACAGGAUUAGAUACCCUGGUAGUCCCUGAGCGGGCU
rnacentral:rRNA from 1 species